GAUGAAGAACGCAGCGAAAUGCGAUAAGUAGUGUGAAUUGCAGAAUUCAGUGAAUCAUCGAAUCUUUGAACGCACAUUGCGCCCUUUGGUAUUCCUUAGGGCAUGCCUGUUCGAGCGUCAUUUAAACCUUCAAGCUAAGCUUGGUGUUGGGUGACUGUCCGCUUCACGGCGGACUCGCCUCAAAAUUAUUGGCGGCCGGUACAUUGGCUUCGAGCGCAGCAGAAACGCGAACUCGGGCCCGUCGUAUUGGCUCCCAGAAGCUAUCUUCACAAUUUGACCUCGGAUCAGGUAGGGAUACCCGCUGAACUUAAGCAUAUCAAUAAGCGGAGGA
rnacentral:misc_RNA from 1 species